CAUACUCCUCUCUCCUCUCCCCAGAGUCGAACAUCACCACAUCCAGUCCCCUCUCCCUUCCUAUCAAACAUCACUUGUUCGAGAGGCUGCUCCAACUUUCGCGACAAGGCAAGAUUUUCGAGCCGGAAUGUGCGAAGUUGACAAGAAAAAGGCCGCCUCUCUAGUGGCAAAAAUGAGAGAGUCGAAAGACCUUGUCAUAAAGGAUAGAACCUAUCAUCUGCGCAAAUACCCUAUUUGUUUCACAGGUUCUGAAGCUGUUGAUUGGUUUAUUGCUAAUGGUUUGGCAAAAGAUAGAACAGAGGCUGUUAAAGUAGGACAGGUAUACCAUGAUGGUUGUUGUCAGAAUGUUUUUGCUUUGGGAGAGACGUUGAUAGAUGCUGACUUGGCUCAUCAUGUUUUAGAUGACCAUAAUUUUGAGGACAGAGCCUUGUUCUAUCGUUUCAGACAAGAUGACCCACCCAGGCUUGUCCAAGUUGGCCCUUCAGUUGCCUCUUUAAAGGCAGAGUGUGGUACAAAAGUUGGUCCUGCUCAGAAAAAGGGAUGGGUGAUGUGGGGCACUGUUGUUCUUGUAUUGAAACAGGGCGAUGAGACUCUUUAUGAGUUUAAAACAGAAUUGGAUUCAAGCCCAGCAAAGACAUAUCUUCUGAAAGACGCUUCUGUCAAGUAUGACAAAUCUGCCAAGUACUGCUUACUGGUGUCCUUUCCAGACAUCCAAAUAUCAGAUCUCAGACUCUCUUUUCAAUCCGAUGAUGAACAGCUCUCUUGGGUGAAGGCCUUUGCUGGAUCUGGAGCCAACACUUCUGAACUAGAGGAGGACAUAGAGGAGCAGGUGGCAGAAGCAAAGUCGAUAUUUGAAUUCAAAGCAAAAGAUAUUGAUGGGGCCCUAGUUGAACUCUCCAAAUACAUGGGUUUGGUGACGCUGAUUGUAAAUGUUGCUUCCUUCUGAGGUCUGACCCAGAAGAACUACUCUCAGCUGGUGGAACUGCACUCCCAGUAUGCUGAGAAGGGACUGCGUAUACUUGCAUUCCCUUGCAACCAGUUUGGCAAACAGGAGCCAGACCCUGAGCCUGUAAUUAAGCAGUUUGCGGCAGGUUAUGGGGUCAAGUUUGACAUGUUUGCCAAGGUCAAUGUCAACGGGUCAUCUGCCUUGCCUCUCUACAAAUACCUGAAAAACGAGCUCAAAGGGACGCUAGGAAGUUUUAUCAAGUGGAACUUUGCCAAAUUUUUGUGUAACAAAGAUGGUAAACCUAUCAAGCGUUAUGCUCCCACUACAGCCCCUUUGGACAUUGCCAAGGACAUCGAGGAGCUGUUAUAACAAAGUGCAAAAUAGGUAGUCCAUGUUUGAAUUCUGUCCCGAUGUUAGACUAGAGACGAAUAGAUAUACUCGGUCCAGGAUAGCGCGGUCACUGAUCUACACAGGUUGACCAAUAUUCCUUCUUUGGAUGUGUUCCUUGUUUUAUGAAGACUAUCUGAAAACCGUAAAUCACGGAAAGAUAUGUUGGAUAAGUGCAGGACGGGAAGACUUGACAGAAUUGAAAUAUUGGGAAGUAUGUGUGAUAUUGGCCGUGUUGACCUGGAGACAUGAUCUAAAUGAUUUUAUGAAAUAGUAAAUUUGAUUUUAUAUAUCUUCAUUCUGCCUUGAUCUAUGUUCAUGUUUCUGUACGUGAUAUUUGCUAUGCGAAUGCGCCAAGCCUUGUUUGAUUAAUAAACAGUAUUCUGUUGUUA